rnacentral:rRNA from 1 species
UAUCAAUAAGCGGAGGAAAAGAAACCAACAGGGAUUGCCUCAGUAACGGCGAGUGAAGCGGCAACAGCUCAAAUUUGAAAGCUGGCCCCCCCCGGGGGUCCGCGUUGUAAUUUGUAGAGGAUGAUUCGGCGAGGGCUCCCGCCUAAGUCCCCUGGAACGGGGCGUCAUAGAGGGUGAGAAUCCCGUAUGCGGUGGGCUGCCUUAGCCAUGUGAAUCUCCUUCGACGAGUCGAGUUGUUUGGGAAUGCAGCUCUAAAUGGGAGGUAAAUUUCUUCUAAAGCUAAAUACCGGCCAGAGACCGAUAGCGCACAAGUAGAGUGAUCGAAAGAUGAAAAGCACUUUGGAAAGAGAGUUAAAAAGUACGUGAAAUUGUUGAAAGGGAAGCGCUUGCAGCCAGACUUGCCCGCAGUUGCUCAGCCGGUCUCCUGACCGGCGCACUCUUCUGCGGCCAGGCCAGCAUCAGUUCGGGCGGUCGGAUAAAGGCCCCGGGAACGUAGCUCCUCUCGGGGAGUGUUAUAGCCCGGGGUGGAAUGCGGCCAGCCUGGACUGAGGAUCUCGCUUCGGCUAGGAUGCUGGCGUAAUGGCUGUAAGCGGCCCGUCUUGAAACACGGACCAAGGAGUCUAACAUCUAUGCGAGUGUUUGGGUGUCAAACCCAUGCGCGUAAUGAAAGUGAACGGAGGUGGGAACCCUCGCGGGUGCACCAUCGACCGAUCCUGAUGUCUUCGGAUGGAUUUGAGUAAGAGCAUAGCUGUUGGGACCCGAAAGAUGGUGAACUAUGCCUGAAUAGGGUGAAGCCAGAGGAAACUCUGGUGGAGGCUCGCAGCGGUUCUGACGUGCAAAUCGAUCGUCAAAUUUGGGUAUAGGGGCGAAAGACUAAUCGAACC